rnacentral:rRNA from 1 species
GACAGAGGGUGCAAACGUUGUUCGGAAUUACUGGGCGUAAAGCGAGUGUAGGCGGUUCGGUAAGUCGGAUGUGAAAGCCCCGGGCUCAACCCGGGAAGUGCACUCGAUACUGCCGAGCUAGAGUAUCGGAGAGGUUGGUGGAAUUCUCGGUGUAGAGGUGAAAUGCGUAGAUAUCGGGAGGAACACCAGUGGCGAAGGCGACUUCCUGGCCUGUUCUUGACGCUGAGGCGCGAAAGCUAGGGGAGCAAACGGG